AUCCAAGAGUUCUGGAAUGUUGAAGUGCCAAGUGACACAUGGUGGAGACGUGCAGGAAUUUAUCUUCAGGAUUCAAUCUUUUGACCAGGAAAUAGGCUGGUGCUGGUGGAGGUUCAUCAUUGUGGCUGUGGGUGUAGCAACACUCAUAACGGGUUCAGUUUUCAUGUUAAAUUCUUCUAUUUAUUCAAUGCUCAUGUUCAUUAUAGUUUAAAUAAAUCACAUUUUGUGCCUAAUGGUGUUAAUGUAAUGUCAUGGAUGUCUUUACAGUUUAUCACUUUUAGUUUGUGCUACAUUGAUGCCCAAAGAUCACAAAAGCUAUAUCAUGUUGAAAUCUAAUGUCCAGAGAGUGAAUGAGUUUGUCAUCAUGCUGUAUGUCACAGGUAUGUAAUGAUGAAAAUUUCGACAGUGAAAUAUGGAAGUAGAAGAUCUGAUGGACACUGACUGAUCCUUCUGCGUCUGUCAGACUUCAGUAAUGUGAUGGAAAAUGUUAAGAUUCUGUGCUUCUCUUUGUUAUACAGGCCUAACUGAAAUGAA